rnacentral:rRNA from 1 species
UACAGAGGUCUCAAGCGUUGUUCGGAUUCAUUGGGCGUAAAGGGUGUGUAGGUGGCGCCGUAAGUCGGGGUGUGAAAUUUCGGAGCUUAACUCCGAAACUGCAUUCGAUACUGCGGUGCUUGAGGACUGGAGAGGAGACUGGAAUUCUCGGUGUAGCGGUGAAAUGCGUAGAUAUCGAGAGGAACACCUGCGGCGAAGGCGGGUUGCUGGGCUGACACUGACGCUGAUGCGCGAAAGCCAGGGGAGCGAACGGG